UUCUCAUUUUUCUUUUAUAAUUCUGAUGAAGGCUGAUGACUUCUAUUUAGGAAACUUAUAUUAGUCCUUUUACAAAAUUAAACUCUAGUGUGACAAGGGUGUAUCAGUCUGCUUGGGCUGCCAUAACAAAAUAUCACAGACCAGGAGGCUAGAAGUUCAAGAUCAAGGUUGGUUUUUCAUGAGGCGUCUCUUUCUAGCUUGUAGAAAAUUGUCUUCUCCCUUUGCCCUUGUGUGGCUUCUCUUCUCUGGGUAUACUCAGGGGGACAGAGAGAGAGAGGGAGAGAGGUUGAUCUAUCUGACAUCUCUUUCUCUUCUUACAAGGACACUAAUCUUAUUGGAUUGGGCCCACCUUCCCUAUGACCUUAUUUAACCUCAAUUACCUCCUAAAGGCCCUGUCUCCAAACAAAAUCACACUGGGGGUUAGGACUUCAAAAUACAAAUUGGGAGGUGAGGACACAAGUAAGUGCAUAACAAAGGGUGAGGAGAAAAAAUCAUUUUCUUUUGGUUGUCUAAACUAUAAUGAAUUUGUGCAGUUCUACCCAGGAACAAUCUGAAAAUUUGGCAUAUAUAUUUUGGUCAAGGUAUUGCUUGACUUGUAGUUAGUAUUUCUCAGUGCGUGUUAUGGCACAAAUUGCAUAUUUUAAUGGGAUAUUUUAGUGAGCUUCUCCUUGAUAUGCAUAGUGGGGCAUUAACAUGCUGAUAAUUUAAACUGUGAUUUAUUUAUUUAUUUAUAUAUUUAUUUAUUUUUUGCAGAAGGGUUUGGCUAGGUAGCAUGCAGUGUUAAUUGUAUGGAGCUCUUCUUCUCAGAAGUUUGCCUUCCAAAACUCCUUGAAGCUUUGUGCUUUCAAUGACCAUUAAUAUUAUAAUGUGCAAAAUUUUACCAUGGGUCAAGCUUAGUUCCAUAAAGGCCAGAAAGAAGGCUUUAAAAAAAGAUAACAAACAAAUUAGGAAAAAACUCUUUUUCUUUUCUUCUCUCUUCUCACCAUAUAUUCUCUUUCUCCUCAUGUUUUCUUCUUUGAAAGGAAAUCUUUGGUGAGAGAUGAUUUCCUUAAUUUAUCUUAUUGCCUAUUUCCCUAGGCAUGAAUAUUUAGGAGGUAUCUAAGAAUGGUUUCUAGGCAGUGACAGAAAUGGAAAUUAUUUACCCCAGGAACUCUGCAUGUAUUCUUGUUAACUCAUUUGCAUACUGUUAACUGAAUAAUAUAUUGGUGGGAACAGAAGCCUUGGAAGCCCUCCAUCAUCCACAUUCCAUUUGCAUCGUCUGUUUUUAGGGUGACGAUCUUGUUUACCUAAGUUGCAAGACACCCCAUAUCUUAUACAAAUGGAGAAAUUAAUUGGCAGAUUCAUGCAUGAAUUAAGUUGUUGUCUUGCUUUGUAUUCUUUCAGGAAUCUCGGGUGAAAUGAAUGGGCCUGCAUGGAUAACGAGGAGUUUUCAGAAAUUUAAAUUUCUUAUUGAGUAAUUCAGUUUUCAGUGGCUAUAUCAUUCAAUAAUAAAUUUAAAACAUUACAUAAAUAUGGUGUGAUGAUUAUGUGCACAGCAUAAAACCCACUGCAUUUUUAGAAUAAGUCAAAUUCAGAUAAAAUUGGAGGGGAUUGCUUAACCACUGAGUAUCUGCCAGAGCAUUUGAUUGUAGAUCAGAAAUUUUGAAAACCUUCACGUAGACUGUAAUAAACUGGCUGCUCUACUGUAAAUGAGAUAAUGCGGGACAAACACCUGAUGUUAUUUUCAAAUCUAACCUAAGAAGUUAUACAAAUAUUGAGGUGUAUAGAGAAAUUAUCAUAUGCAUAUUUGGAGGCAUAUGACUAAAUUUGGUACUGAAAGUGAUUUGGCUGGGAUGUGGUGAAAAUGUUUACAAGGUUUGAAUCUUUUUAGGAAUUUGAAGAAAGAGAAACCGCAUAUUUUCUGAGAUCUAAUCCAUUUAUUUGGGAUCCAUCUGAAUGAGCAUCUUAUUUCACUGGGCAAUCCUGUAUUCCAGCUGCAGAUGAAGAGAGUGCUUCACUUCAAACCUCCUGACUGCCAUGGAACCAUCUGGCACGUGCACAUGUGUGGAUGGUGUCAGAAGUGGGAUCUGAAGUAGACCUUCUAAUGACCUUUAGGAGUGCUGAGUGACCAAGUGAGAUACUUGCAGGAACCUUUUGUGUCCAGUGAUCUCUUGGAGCAGCUGGGGAUCAUGCUUGGCCUCCAGGGGCAUAGUGUUGUGAACAGGGUCACUAGGGCUGCUCAGUGAAAGGGAAUUCAGAAACCUGGCGUGCUGGCAAAAGGGUAAGAAUUUCCUACCAAUCAGACUUCUCACCUCUCUCUCUUUUUGCAAACUGGUUGGAUGAAUGAUAAAAAUCACUGUUUAUCUCCUCUGUAAAGGUGUAAUUAAUGCAAAAAAGGCUUCUGAGGGUAGAUCUAAGUUGCAGCAAAUUUGGUGUGCGUUGUGUGUCUUCUGUAUGGUUUUGUUAUAAAGAAGAGUAUGUUAGGAUAGAGCAUUGGUUUAGGACCCUGUAAGCUCACUAUUCAAGAUGGCCCAGCAAGCUGGUCAAUAACACACUUUGCUGCAGGUACCUGAAACAACAAAAAAAACUGGAUGAGACCUUGUUUUAUGUCCUUGGGAAUUUGACCUUGUCACCACAUGGCUGUACUUUCUCUUGGUCUCAAAUAAAAAUAUACUCUAUUGGUGCAUACAACAGACCCCGUUUUCACUUCUGUUGUUCAUAAAGGAAUAAGCAAGGGAAAAAUAUUCAAAGGUAAGUGUCUCAUGAUAGUAGAGAAGUCUUGAUCCAUGACCUUGGGAAAAGCUAUUCACAUUAAGGAUGCCAUCUUUUCUGGGGAGAAAUUUCUCUGCUUGAUUUUACCUUAAGGGUUCCAAUGGGUAUACAGUUCCAAGAGUGUGGAGGGACCCUUUUCAGUUGCGAAAUUAUGAACUUGAAAUCAUACCUGCCAUAAUAUUGGACCACAAAG